rnacentral:lncRNA from 1 species
UCGUUUUGAAUUUAGCUCAACUUCUCAAUAUUUACACCUUUGGUCCUCGAACUAUCACUUUGUUGCGUUUUGGUCCUUCUUCGACUCUUUUCUCCUGAAUUCCAUAAUUUCCAUUGAAAUACCUAUAUUGCAUGAAUUUAAUAGAAUUAAGCCACAAUUCAACCAUUUUAUCCAUGUUUAAGUCAUGUUUGUGAACCAA